rnacentral:rRNA from 1 species
ACGCUCGACACCUACGGGAAGCAGCAGUGAGGAAUAUUGGUCAAUGGGCGCAGGCCUGAACCAGCCAAGUAGCGUGAAGGAUGACUGCCCUAUGGGUUGUAAACUUCUUUUAUAUGGGAAUAAAGUUUUCCACGUGUGGAAUUUUGUAUGUACCAUAUGAAUAAGGAUCGGCUAACUCCGUGCCGGCAGCCGCGGUAAUCUGAGCGGGCUGGCAAGGC